rnacentral:misc_RNA from 1 species
AAGUCGUAACAAGGUUUCCGUAGGUGAACCUGCGGAAGGAUCAUUAUCACGUAAUAAUCCACGUUAUAAACCCUUCUUUGAAUUGUUUUUUAAAACUAAAUUUCUGGAACAGCUUUCGUAGCUGGAAUGCUUCUGAAUUGGGAUAUGGAAAUUUUAACAAAACGCUGUUUGAUUUAUUUCAAGCUGAAAUGGGAAAAUUAUUGUAAUUUGAGAUCCCAGAGUAUUGUUAAUAGUUCAUAACCAGCAAUUCGUUAGUGUCUAAGAAAUUGUAACUCAAAUUACAUUUAUAGAAUUAACUAUUUUAACCCCUUUUGAUAAAUUGAACUAACGAUUCUCUACUCAGCCUUAAAAACUGAGAUUGAAUAAAUACGAAACAAAGAACAACUCUUAGCAACGGAUAUCUUGGUUCUCGUAACGAUGAAAAACGCAGC